AUAUUACUCCCUUUGAUCCAUAUUACUUGUCUUAGAUUAGUCUAGAUAUGGAUGUAUGCAACACUAAAACGUGUCUAAAUACAUCUGUAUCUAGACAAAUCUAAGACAAUUAAUAUGGAUUGGAGGGAGUGCAAC
rfam:Hordeum vulgare subsp. vulgare, WGS project CAJW01000000 data, contig: morex_contig_2548605